GUCCCUAUCGUCUAGAGGCCUAGGACAGCGCCUUCUCACGGCGUAAACCCGGGUUCGAAUCCCGGUAGGGACGCCA
rnacentral:tRNA from 1 species